rnacentral:lncRNA from 13 species
AUGCUUUUUCUGUUCCUCAACAGACAUUCAUCAAUGGGUUUAAAUCAGUCAGUUAUGUCUGGAUUGGUCUGACUGACUCUGUUACUGAGGGGACCUGGAAAUGGGUGGACGGCACCCCACUGACCACAGCAAGGUAUUGGUGGAGUGGAGAGCCUGGUGGUGGUACGUACCAGAACUGUGGGGAAAUCUAUUACAUAUCGUCAGGCCAAGGAGUAUGGAGGGAUUUGGGAUGUUCGUUUUCACAAGAAUGGAUCUGUGAGAAAUAGGCUUCUCAUAGGUACUUUUAAUGAACUCUCUACUGUAUGUUAAUGAUGCUCUGUAGACUGGUGUGAUUUGAUAGAAUGGUACUCUGAACUUCAGGUAGGAGAGAAACAAAUGUUCACAUUCAGACAGACACACACACACAAGAAGACACUGAUCUGAACCUGAGUCUCCCACAGGAGAAACCAACUUCUUCAUUAGAUAAGGAGGUAAUCCUCUUGGGCCGAGAGCUGACACUGAUUUUUGAAGUCGCAGGUUGGGCUGCCGCAUCACGUGACCAGGAGCAACAUGACUGACUACUGUCUGCUGCACAAGCUGACACACAAUCAUGUAUUCAUACUGUAUGUCAAAAAGUGUGAAUAAAUAGGGGCAUAACAUCUGUAAUCUAGAAGGACAAGACAUCUCCCUGCCUCUUUAGGACAGUGAAUUUUACAGUGUACAUUUUAAAGGUCUACUCCUAAACUUGAAGAAAGAAAAACUGGUGUCAAUAAGACAUUGUGCCUUUUAAGACAGAGUGAAUGUUACUAUUUACAUUUGAACUCAUAUCUUGUUCACUUCCUGUUUGUGGUGACAACACCAGAAUGAAGGGUUGGAUCAUAACCAUCAGUUAUCAAAACAGUGUCUAAGGUUUUGCAACAAACAGGUCACGACCCCUGGUGACCUUUAAUACAGGUAGUGAUUAGAUUCAACUGUUUUGAAAAGCAGAUAUUAUUUAGCAAGUGAAUGUAGUUGUUUAAUGGUUGUAUUAUAUUUCAGAGGGAGAGAUAGAAUCCCAAAUGAUACCCUAUCCCCUUUGUAUUGCAUUCCUUUUGGUGAGUAGUGCACUAUAAAGGGAAUGGGGUGUCAUUUGGGAUUCUCUCACAGCCAGAGAGUUAGGCCGAAUACAGGGAGAGACAGUUUACGCACGACUCACCAUGGCCCAAUGGAGGCCCGUUGAGGCUCUUCAGUUGGCCAUCCCAAGAUCUCAACAAAAUCACAACAAGGAAAACAAAAAGACUAUCCAAACCAACCUGGUUGGGAGGCUACUUUCAUAUAGCUUCUCUGAUCAGUAAUUACCUGUCAAUCAUCCAUGCCUGAGAGCAACAGGGUUGGGAGGCUACUUUCAUAUAGCUUCUCUGAUNNNNNNNNNNAAACCAGUCUUGCUGUCUGUGGAACAUGUCUAUGGCUGAACAUGGAACAGAACACUAGAAUGUGAUUCAGGAAGGAUUCUGGAAUGUUAAAGGCAAGAUUCACACAUUUUGAAUCAUCUUAUAUCGUAUUCGUGUAUCUGAGCAAUUUUUGCCAGAAAACUGACCUGUUAUAGUGUAGAUGUCAGAACACUAUACUAUCAGCAGAUAACUGACCUGUUAUAGUAGUGUAGAUGUCAGAACACUAUACUAUCACCAGAUAACUGACCUGUUAUAGUAGUGUAGAUGUCAACACUAUACUAUCACCAGAUAACUGACCUGUUAUAGUAGUGUAGAUGUCAACACUAUACUAUCANNNNNNNNNNAGGUCAGUCUAACUGUGUUGUUCAUACUCUAGGUUCUGAGAGAGAGGUCAGUCUAACUCUGUGUUGUUCAUACUCUAGGUUCUGAGAGAGAGGUCAGUCUAACUCUGUGUUGUUCAUACUCUAGGUUCUGAGAGAGAGGUCAAUCUAACUCUGUGUUGUUCAUACUCUAGGUUCUGAGAGAGAGGUCAGUCUAACUCUGUGUUGUUCAUACUCUAGGUUCUGAGAGAGUGGUCAGUCUAACUCUGUGUUGUUCAUACUCCAGGUUCUGAGAGAGUGGUCAGUCUAACUAUGUUGUUUCUACUGCAGUUAUUGGUGGAGUGGAGAGCCUGGUGGUGGUACGUACCAGAACUGUGGGGAAAUCUAUUACAUAUCGUCAGGCCAAGGAGUAUGGAGGGAUUUGGGAUGUUCGUUUUCACAAGAAUGGAUCUGUGAGAAAUAGGCUUCUCAUAGGUACUUUUAAUGAACUCUCUACUGUAUGUUAAUGAUGGUCUGAAGACUGGUGUGAUUUGAAAGAAUGGUACUCUGAACUACAGGUAGGAGAGAAACAAAUGUUCACAUUCAGACAGACACACACACACACACAAAGACACUGAUCUGAACCUGAGUCUCCCACAGGAGAAACCAACUUCUUCAUUAGAUAAGGAGGUAAUUCCCUCUUGGGCCGAGAGCUGACACUGAUUGUUGAAGUCGCAGGUUGGGCUGCCGCAUCACGUGACCAGGAGCAACAUGACUGACUACUGUCUGCAGCACAAGCUGACACACAAUCAUGUAUUCAUACUGUGUGUCAAAAAGUGUGAAUAAAUAGGGGCAUAACAUCUGUAAUCUAGAAGGACAAGACAUCUCUCUGCCUCUUUAGGACAGAGUGAAUGUUACAGUGUACAUUUUAAAGGUCUACUCCUAAACUUGAAGAAAGAAGAACUGGUGUCAAUAAGACAUUGUGCCUUUUAAGACAGAGUGAAUGUUACUGUUUACAUUUUAACUCAUAUCUUGUUCACUUCCUGUUUGUGGAGGCAAUACCAGAAUGAAGGGUUGGAUCAUAAAUAACCAUCAGUUAUCAAAACAGUGUCUAAGGUUUUGCAACAAACAGGUCACGACCCCUGGUGACCUUUAAUACAGGUAGUGAUUAGAUUCAACUGUUUUGAAAAGCAGAUAUUAUUUAGCAAGUGAAUGUAGUUGUUUAAUGGUUGUAUUAUAUUUCAGAGGGAGAGAUAGAAUCCCAAAUGAUACCCUAUCCCCUUUGUAUUGCAGUCCUUUUGGUGAGUAGUGCACUAUAAAGGGAAUGGGGUGUCAUUUGGGAUUCUCUCACAGCCAGAGAGUUAGGCAGAAUACAGGGAGAGACAGUCUACGCACGACUCACCGUGGCCCAAUGGAGGCCCGUUGAGGCUCUUCAGUUGGCCAUCCCAAGAGCUCAACAAAAUCACAACAAGGAAAACAAAAAGACUAUCCAGACCAAACCAACCUGGUUGGGAGGCUACUUUCAUAUAGCUUCUCAAAUCAGUAAUUACCUGUCAAUCAUCCAUGCCUGAGAGCAACAGGGUUGGGAGGCUACUUUCAUAUAGCUUCUCUGAUCAGUAAUUACCUGUCAAUCAUCCAUGCCUGAGAGCAACAUGGUUUGGAGGCUACUUUCAUAUAGCUUCUCUGAUCUGUAAUUACCUGUCAAUCAUCCAUGCCUGAGAGCAACAGGGUUGGGAGGCUACUUUCAUAUAGCUUCUCUGAUCAGUAAUUACCUGUCAAUCAUCCAUGCCUGAGAGCAACAGGGUUGGGAGGCUACUUUCAUAUAGCUUCUCUGAUCAGUAAUUACCUGUCAAUCAUCCAUGCCUGAGAGCAACAGGGUUGGGAUCAAUUCCAUUUAAAAAAGGAAACGCCACAUGUACGUUGAACCAUUUCUUAGAAAACAUUACAAUGCCUAGUCUUGGAGGUUGGCAGUGAGCUACCCUGAAGGAGCAGAGCCUGAGUGAAGUGUCAUAUUAAGUUAAUAAUAUAGAACUGUUCUGUAGAAUAGACCACAUGUAAGUACAGUGUGAAUCCAAUUGGCACA